rnacentral:rRNA from 1 species
AUGCCUUCGGGCAUAGUGGCGCACGGGUGCGUAACGCGUGGGAAUCUGCCCCUGGGUUCGGAAUAACAGCGAGAAAUUGCUGCUAAUACCGGAUGAUGACGAAAGUCCAAAGAUUUAUCGCCCAGGGAUGAGCCCGCGUAGGAUUAGCUAGUUGGUGAGGUAAGAGCUCACCAAGGCGACGAUCCUUAGCUGGUCUGAGAGGAUGAUCAGCCACACUGGGACUGAGACACGGCCCAGACUCC